UGAAGGAGAGAGGGAGCCGAAAUUAAUGCCGCGAUAUCUCUACGACACGGGGUGGGGGGUAGCGGUGGUCCUUGGCCCUUGUGCCCGUGGUAACCUGCCUUCUGCUGCCAUCCCUGUCAGCAGCCCAGGGAUUAGCUUAAGCUUGAAACAUCAUUGCUUUGACUAGCUCGCUUCUGCAGGAUGCCACAGAAGAUCGGUUUUAUAGUUGUUAGUUCAUCGGGACACGAAGAUGGCUUCAGCGCAAAAGAGCUGAUGGUUCACGCACCGACUGUGAAUGGAUGGCGAUCACCCAGACUCUGUCAGUAUCCACAGGAAAUUGUUCUGCAGUUGGUGGAGAGGUGUCGAAUACGAAAACUGCAGUUGCUUGCUCACCAGUACAUGAUUUCAAGCAAAAUUGAGUUCUACAUCAGUGAAAGCUUGCCUGAAUACUUUGCUCCUUAUCAGUCAGAGAGAUUUCACAGACUAGGUUAUGUCCCUCUCUCGGACAAUGAAAAGACUGAUUUCAAAGCACGAGAGUUAAAAUCUGUGUAUAUGGAUGCAGUUGGCCAGUACCUGAAGCUGAUUUUCCAUAAGAAUUAUGUCAAUAAAUACAACUUAUACGGUCAGGUUGCCCUAGUAGCUAUAAACAUUAUUGGAGAUCCAGCAGACUACAGCAAUGACAGCAAUAAUACUCCUUCCAGAGAGAAGCUGAUAGACCACUACUUAGGAAUUAAAUCAGAUGACCCUGCCUUAGAUGGAACUUACCUUGGGAAGCCUGACUCCAUUUCACCUCUGGAUGAUUUGGCUUUUGACAUGUACCAGGAUCCAGAAGUUGCUCAGAUAAUACGUAGACUGGAUGAGAAGAAGCGUGAAGCUGUCCAUCAUGAACGCUAUGAUUAUGCCAAGAAACUCAAACAAGCUAUCGCAGACUUGCAAAAGGUAGGGGAACGACUUGGUCGGUAUGAGGUAGAGAAGCGCUAUGCUGUAGAGAAAGAGGAUUAUGAUCUCGCUAAAAAGAAGAAACAGCAAAUGGAGGGCUACCGCCUGAAGGUGUAUCAGCAACUGGAGCUCCACGACCUUCUGGAUGCAGAGCUGAUGAUUCGAAAACCACCUGAAUUGCCUUUGGAGUCUAUGAUUUAUACUGACAAUCCUCAGCGCACAAAAGCUACAAAUUCAUCUCCUUGUGAACACAUAGAACCGCAAAAAGGAGAGCCAUGGAGAGCAGAGCUUUUGCUGGAAGAGAAGUCAGCAGAUCCCUCUUCUGCUGAGCCUGUUGCUCCCCAUCAGUCCCCUCCUCCUCCUCAGACUCAUCCUGCAACCGCCAGGGAAGUGUUUCCCAAAGAAAAUGUUGAAUUUUUACCUUAUGAUGAGAGACCUCUUCCAGCUAUCUGCAAACAGCCUGAUGAAGCAAUUGCGUACCUUGAGCCGGAGAUGGCUGAAGGGGCUAUUGAUGAUACUGCAAGAAGUGGCAUUACUGGGGAACCAGAACCAUUAACUGAGAAGGCACUGAGGGAGGCCAGCCCUGCUAUUGAAGUUUUUGGAGAAGCUUUGGUUUCAGGAGCAUAUUCCAAAACUUGGUCGUAUCGAGAAGACGCAUUACUGGCUGUGUAUAAGAAGCUGAUGGAAAUGUCAGUAAAGACUCCAAAGGAUGAUUUAAAGAACAUGCUGAGGGCUGCCAUUUUUCUUGUAAGGAGAGCCAUCAAAGACAUAGUGUCUUCAGUUUUUCAAGCUUCCCUGAAACUCUUAAAAAUGAUCAUUACCCAAUAUAUACCAAAACAUCAACUAGGAAAACUAGAAACUUCUCAUUGUGUAGAAAAAACGCUUCCAAGUUUGCUUUCUAGAACAGGAGACUCUUCAUCCCGUCUUCGCCUUGUGGCUUCUAACUUCAUUCAGGAAAUGGCACUGUGUAGUGAAGUUAAACCUCUUCAGAUUGUUCCAGUUCAUUUGGUUCAACCAUUAAAACCAAACUCCCCAACACAUCUGGCGAUGAGUCAAGUGGAAUUAGUGGAGUGCCUCUUGAAAGACAUGGGAACUGAAAACUCUGGGUUUACCAUCAGCAAUGUCAUGAAGUUUGCAACGGGAGCUUUGGAACACAGAGUUUAUGAAGUUCGUGAUGUAGCGUUGCGGAUUAUCUUUGAUAUGUACAGGCAGCACAAGGCUGCUAUACUGGAAUAUCUUCCUCCAGAUGAUGCAAGCAUUCGCAAGACUGUUCUCUAUAAAACACUCUUUGAUGGAUUUACUAAAAUAGAUGGUAAACUUUCUGAAGCUGAAAUUAGGGCACAGAGAAAGGCAGCAACAGAAGAAGCAGAGAAACAGAAGAAGGAAGAAAUAAAAGUUCUGCAAGGUCAGCUGGCAGCUCUAAAGGAGAUAGAAGCAGAAGUUCAAGCUGGAAAGGAGAAAGAAUCUGAUUUUCAGAAGCCAAAGAAUCAAGGUUACCAGGUAAAUGAAAGCCCACAGCCUGCAGCAGCAGAGAUUCCAGAUGAUCAUGCCUCUGUUGCAAAUUACUUGGAUAACUUAUGUAUUUUUUGUGGUGAAAGGGACGAAUCCUUCACAGAGGAAGGAUUGGAUCUCCAUUACUGGAAACACUGCCCUAUGUUAACCAGAUGUGAGCACUGCAAACAGGUGGUGGAAAUAGCAAGCCUGACAGAGCACUUGUUGACUGAUUGUGAUAAAAAGGACAGCUUUGGGAAAUGUCAACGAUGCAGUGAGGCCCUUCCAAAAGAUGAGUUGCCCAAACAUAUUAAGAGCAAGACUUGCAAUUCUGCCAAACCAGAAAAUGUGGCAAACCAUUGCCCAUUGUGCCAUCACAACUUUUCCCCAGGAGAGGAGGCCUGGAAAUCUCACCUAAUGGGCAAAGAUGGCUGUAAAAUGAAUCAACGGAGGUUAUCCACAAUAAAUAAAACUCUUCUGUUGCAGCCUGGCAAAAUAGGUGGCCAGUAUUUAAGGAAGCCAGGUCCUUCAGGAGCAAAAGCUCGACCUCCCUCUAUAGGAAGCAAGAUCCCAACCCCAAGAGGGGGCCCAAAUAAAAGCACUGGCAAAACAUACUCAAAGCGAUGACAGGACAAGUAUUUCUCCCUUUGUCUUAAUAACUGGGCAUGUAGUUGUUAAUAGUUAUUUAAAAAUUGUGGGCAACUCAUAUAAUCUUAUUUGUUUGACUACAUAGGACUGUUUACCAGCCUUGAGCAGUACUUGCCUAGUCUGGUAACUUUUGCGUUAGCUGUCUGUGCAGCACUGUGCUUUUCCUCCUAGAAAUGCUCAUGUCAGAAAUACGCAAAAUAUUCUGGGACAGACCUAGCCUGCCACGUUCCCCGCAUGGCACAAGGAAGGCCGUGCAUUGGUCUUUGGUUCCUCAUGUUAAAAAAACUCCCCAAUGAGUAUGGAGUUAACACGGCCACACUAUGUGGCUGCUGUCACAGUCAGCACAGAGGCUGUGCCCAGAGGUUAUGCGAUUCCUCUGGGACCGUGGUUCUAACAGGCUGGCUUUGAGAUCCAGUAAGGAAUUUCCUUAAGGUCCAAAAGCCACAGUCAUUUCUGUUUUGGCUUUCUUUGGGGGAAGAGCAAGAAACUGACCAAGCAGAAAUUGUACUAGACUUUCAGGACAGAGCUGAAAAGCAUUUGUUCUUUUGAUCUAAGCGUGACACUUGUUUGCAAUUACAAGUUCUGAAAGCUUGGGAAGUAAUACCUGUAUUAGCUGACUACCACCUGAUCACUUCAGUGUAAUAACGGCAGAAUAUAUUGCUAAUAGUUUUCUGCCAAAAUUGACUUUAUAACACGCUGAAAGUAAUAGUGUCAAUAAUUUUUGUUUGUCUCGCCGUCAGACACUUGUGAUAGACAAAUGGGUCGCAAGUUUAAUUGCAUGCACUGGUUGGCUAGGAGAUAAGCUGCCUGUGUGUAUUUUUGCAUUACAUCAGUGCAUUUACAGAGAAUUCAUCAUCAUUAAACUUGAGGAAACACCACUGAAAAUAGGGAUAUACAAUGAGCAAAACAGGCUUGUUGCAGUCGCGCAGGUUUCUUUGAUGUGAUGAUGAUGUUGAUAUCUUAGUGAUGCCAUCGUUCAUCUGCUAUGAUGUGCAGCUGGCAUAAGGUGAAAUGAAAAAUGCAUGCACGCGUAGAAGGAAAUACAUGUCAGACUAUACGAAAUGUGUAUCUCAGUUAUCUGAAAGACAUGUAUGAUCCUAUAUAGAUAAACUCUUGAACCAAUUAAUGGGUAAAAUAACAGUUCCAUAAGGCAAAAUUCUUCCUCGUGUGUUUGCUAGAAGGAAAAAAAAAAAAAAAAAGGAGAAAUUGCAAUGUAGACAAGGAAAGCCAUGGGGUUUGUUUUUUCCACUGCAAAUCCUAUAGUGUGGAUUUAUUUGCUUCACUUAGGGCAUGUUUACAAGUAGGGCCAGGAAUUGGAAAGCUUUUUCAGGUGUCCACUCCUCAGGUAUAAUGAAGUAAGUCAAAGAAUCAUGCCAUUCUUUGGUGAUUAGUUUAGCCACUGUGCCAGGAUCUAGUGUAUUUUGAUAGGAAGAAAGACACUAUUAGUGUGUUUACAACAGCUGCCUUUUUCUUCCGUGUAUUUGUGGUGAUAAAUUUUGUCAGUUAAAAUGGGGCAAAUUUAUAGCCAUUGUAAAAGCUUACAAGUCCAUUUAUUUGUGCUAGGCAGUAAAACUCUUGGUUCUUUCAUUGGAAAUGGGAACCGUACUUUUUUCUAAAACUGACUGGUAUCCUUGAACACCUCGUAAGUCAGCUGAAAGCUCUAGUUGACCCUGCAAGGAAAGGAAUUGGAUCAGGGCCAUUAUAAAAUGUUUCCACUCAUUUUUAAAAUGCUUAGAAACAUUACUUUGACAGAUAACUUUGCUUUCUUUUCUAAUACUGGUUGGUGUCUGUAAUUUUACAAGUUCAAGCAUGUUAAUAAUGUCGAGUGAAAUAGAUGUGUCUUCCUUGGGUCUGCCGAGGAUCUAGGAAUAACAAAAGCCAUGCAUGGUGGGAAGUGGUUUUGCUGUGGAAGCCUGGCCUUUACAUAUAUUUCAGGUUUAGAGUUUUAAAGGCAGCAGAGCAGUACCCAAAGCGCUACUCAACGCCAAGAAUUAGCACCAAAUAAAAAAGCUAAAGGGCUGGUUGGAUAUUGCCAUAUGACAUGCCAUUACAUAGGAAGUAACAAGAAAUAGCUGUUCCGCGCUGCCUCUCUCGCUGUGCACUAAGUGCCUUAUUAGUCCACUUGACAAGAGGAUUGAGCUAAACCGCAAGAGUCCCACUUGGUACAUAAUAAGAGUGUGUAUCGAUGGAGCUACUGUAAAAAUUAAAGUUAUGCUUUAAAAUCUCACAGUUAGUUCUGAAAUUUAUCCCCAAGAAAUGGCCCCUUAAAGAAAAGAAAAAAUCUUUGUGGGGCCCUGAAAAGCUUGAAUUAAUAAAUUUAGACCUGUUUUCCUGCUUUAGUGUACUUUCUUGCAGCUCGCUUCUAAAUCCAGCUCUGAGUUUCUCUAGUUAGGUCUUGAUUAAAAUAAACAUCCAUAGACUGCCGCAUGUGACCGUUUAGUAGCUUCAAAGAGAACAAAUUCUACUGAGACACAAUGUAUGAAGCUUUGUACCUAAAGCAACAAUCCUAGCACUUCUACUUGUAACACUUGGGCAACUGCUUUCCGGGAUAGAAUUAAUUGGUCCCACGUCUAUGUCCACCACAGUGACACAGGUUCCUACUUGAGCACCUGAUCCCUUAUGCAAGCAAAAUAACCAGUGAUUUUGCUCAGAGAUUAGCACGUGCAAUGGACCGCAGGCUCAUGAGCUGCUGCCUAGAGCAUUUUUUCCUUUUGGACAUAAAACUGUGAGCUUUCCGUUGUGCAAGUUUAAUGAAAAAACCUCGUUUGCAAAGGUCCUCCAUGUGUUCUGGAUUGGCCACUAUAGUAUGUAUACUGAACUGGUAAAUACAGCUCUCCAUUGCUCCUCAACCAUGGCUUUUUAACCCAGUCAAGCAAAGCGUAAUUAAAGUAAUCUGUUAAAUCCUGCACGUAGCAGGAUGUGUGCUUUCUAUGUUAUAAUAUUAUGGGACAACCUUUUUAAACUUAUUUUUUUUAAAAAAAGGGGGGGGGGGAGUUAAAUAAAAAAAACCAAACAAACCAAAAACCCAAAACCAAGACCCCACAAACAUUAUGAGUUAUAGUGAGGGUCAUAUUUCCCAGCGCUGACCGAUCGGAAUAGCCGAAAAGUUGGGAGCUAUGGGAAGACGCUUUUACAGACCUUCUCUUUGGAGGCAUUUUCCCUUGGGUAGCACUUGUGUCUCACAUUUGUCACAUUUGUGUACGAGGAUGUUUUCCUGCUGCUCUGCUCUACGCUCAGGCCGCCUGUCUCCCCCUGCGGUUGUUGGGCUCCGGAGCAAGCACCGUAACUGCUUUUCUCUUUGCUCCAUUGUAGAGCGCAGUAAUUAUGCCUUUGGGCCCUGUGCAAUAACUCUGCAGCUUUUUCACUGCAAGAAGUUGUCAUGUAGGAGAUUCCUGCCUCUUCCCUGUCCUUGCCACCCAGCCUACUCACCUAAGGAGCAGGAAUUAGGUAUGCGCAAGGGAAGCGCAUUUCAGAGUCUUUGUCAAACAGCUUUUAAAAGCCAAAUGCAUAGGCUUGGGCACACCACAUUGCGUCUUAGGGCUUUGUAAUUUUUUUUUUUUUUUUUCAAAUCCAGAGUAGCUCUUUAGCAACAUUUAAAAGAAAUCAUUUCAACAUUUUAGAGUGCAUGACAUUCACUAAGAAUCCUGGGCACUUUUGGACUAAAAAAAUGCACUUCUAAAGUGAGAUAUAAAGAUAGUAACUACUCAAUGGUACGAACUGGAAACAGAAGUGAGAAAACACAGAUUAUUUUUUUUAGGAUGUGAGAGGAUCUUCUCUGAGCGCAGUAGUACCACCACUGUAAUUUUUAAAGGAUGAUUUCUCUGGGCUGCUUCCUUGCACUUAAUAAACAACCUGUAUUUUCUGCAGUGGCAAAAUAAACAGUGGUGUGAAAAACA